UCCUAGCCUUGAUAGCAGUGGAAAGCCUUUGCGAGCAGAAAACCAUUUUUUCUAGUUGUGGCAGAGCGACCGAAGGAAGCUCCUGCCCCAACUUAGAAAAAAGGUUUGAUGCCGCAAAGCUUGCAACGAAUAGCGAGAAUAGCU
rfam:Flavobacterium fryxellicola strain DSM 16209 FBFR14, whole genome shotgun sequence.